GACGAACGCUGGCGGCGUGCUUAACACAUGCAAGUCGAACGGAAAGGCCCUGCUUUUGUGGGGUGCUCGAGUGGCGAACGGGUGAGUAACACGUGAGUAACCUGCCCUUGACUUUGGGAUAACUUCAGGAAACUGGGGCUAAUACCGGAUAGGAGCUCCUGCUGCAUGGUGGGGGUUGGAAAGUUUCGGCGGUUGGGGAUGGACUCGCGGCUUAUCAGCUUGUUGGUGGGGUAGUGGCUUACCAAGGCUUUGACGGGUAGCCGGCCUGGGAGGGGGGCCGGCCACAUUGGGACUGAGAUGCGGCCCAGACUCCUACGGGAGGCAGCAGUGGGGAAUAUUGCACAAUGGGCGGAGGCCUGAUGCAGCAACGCCGCGUGCGGGAUGACGGCCUUCGGGUUGUAAACCGCUUUCGCCUGUGACGAAGCGUGAGUGACGGUAAUGGGUAAAGAAGCACCGGCUAACUACGUG
rnacentral:rRNA from 1 species